GCAUAGGUAGUGCAAUGGUUCGACCACGCGCCUUCGGACAGGUGAGAUUUGGGUUCGAGUCCCACCUGAUGCA